rnacentral:rRNA from 1 species
CCUACGGGUGGCAGCAGUGAGGAAUAUUGGUCAAUGGGCGCGAGCCUGAACCAGCCAAGUAGCGUGAAGGAUGACUGCCCUACGGGUUGUAAACUUCUUUUAUAAAGGAAUAAAGUGAGGCACGUGUGCCUUUUUGUAUUGACUUUAUGAAUAAGGGUCGGCUAACUCCGCGCCAGCAGCCGCGGUCAUACGGAGGAGCCGAGCGUUAUGCAGAUUUAUUGGGUUUAAAGGGAGCGUAGAUGGGUUGUUAAGUCAGUUGUGAAAGUUUGCGGCUCAACCGUAAAAUUGCAAUUGAUACUGGCAGUCUUGAGUACCGUUGAGGUAGGUGGAAUUCGUGGUGUAGCGGUGAAAUGCUUAGAUAUCACGAAGAACUCCGAUUGCGAAGGCAGCUUACUAAACUGCCACUGACAUUGAGGCUCGAAAGUGUGGGUAUCAAACAGGAUUAGAUACCCGGGUAGUC